UAAAAGUCGUAACAAGGUUUCCGUAGGUGAACCUGCGGAAGGAUCAUUAUUGAUUGGUCGAAAGACCUUAUCAGAUUCUACCACCUCUGUGAACUGUUGGACCUCCGGGUCUACAAUCAAACAUCAGUGUAACGAACGUAAGAGUAUCUUAACGAAACAAAACUUUCAACAACGGAUCUCUUGGCUCUCGCAUCGAUGAAGAACGCAGCGAAAUGCGAUAAGUAAUGUGAAUUGCAGAAUUCAGUGAAUCAUCGAAUCUUUGAACGCACCUUGCGCCUUUUGGUAUUCCGAAAGGCAUGCCUGUUUGAGUGUCAUGAAAUCUCAAUCCUCCUAGGUUUUUGACCUGGUUGGGCUUGGACAUGGGCGUCUGCCAGCAAUGGCUCGCCUUAAAUGACUUAGUGGAACAUCCCACAUCAGUGUUAGACGUAAUAAGUUUCGUCUCUCCUUGUGGUGAUGACUGCUCAUAAUCUGCCAUCGCGCACUUUUGACUUUGACCUCAAAUCAGGUAGGGCUACCCGCUGAACUUAAGCAUAUCA
rnacentral:rRNA from 1 species